GACAAAGAAGAGGGCUCAGCCCUGGAAUUAAGAGCAAAUUUUGCCAGACGAUCUGCUGUUGCAUUACCUUCUCUUGGUGUCCAACUGAAUUCUACUGAUCUCAGAUUGUUAGCCAAAUCCCAGAUGCUGGUAAGAACAUCCCCAAGGUAAGAUCUGUCUUCAAUCCUGUUUGUAAGCCUCCAAUAAAGAUCUUGACAGUCCGUUUCCAUAAUCAAAUCAUCCCAGCCGUAAUCCAAUGCCACCCGCAUUCCUUCAAGCAUAGCAGCAGCUUCACCUUCAAUCACAGAAAACGCCCCAGGAAGGAAGCCGAAGCCACAGCACUCAACCGAAUCGGAAGCACUAGUAACCACAGCUCCAUACCCCA
rnacentral:lncRNA from 1 species